rnacentral:rRNA from 1 species
UUCUACAGCCAUGCCACCCUGAACAUACCCAAUCUCAUCUGAUCUCGAAAGUUAAGCAGGGUCGGGCCUGGUUAGUACUUGGAUGAGAGACCACCUUGCAAUACCAGAUGCUGUAGGCA